UGGGGAAUUUUGCGCAAUGGGCGAAAGCCUGGCGCAGCGACGCCGCGUGUACGAUGAAGGCCUUUGGGUCGUAAAGUACUGUCAACGGGGACGAACGCCUCAGGUUGAAUAGGUCUGAGGUCUGACGGUACCCGUGGAGGAAGCACCGGCUAACUCUGUGCCAGCAGCCGCGGUAAUACAGAGGGUGCAAACGUUGCUCGGAAUGACUGGGCGUAAAGCGCGCGCAGGUGGCCCGUUAAGUUGGCUGUGAAAUCCCCUGGCUCAACCAGGGAAGUGCAGUCGAUACUGGCGGGCUCGAGUCCCGGAGAGGGUGGUAGAAUUCCCAGUGUAGAGGUGAAAUUCGUAGAUAUUGGGAAGAACACCAGUGGCGAAGGCGGUGCCCUGGCCCGAGACUGACGCUGAGGUGCGAAAGCGUGGGGAGCAAACAGGAUUAGAUACCCCCGUAGUCC
rnacentral:rRNA from 1 species